GUAAAAAGUGCCCCCAAAGGAACUAAAGCAUAUGAUACAUCAUUCGAGAGGUCUUGGCCCAGAACUACUUUUAGUGUAGGUAACAUCUGAGAUUUUUAUCUGAUUUUUUGGACCCCUAUUUAAGGGUGAAAAAAUUCAGAGAAAAAUUCUGCGAUUUUUUUUUUCGUACGUUGGAGGUACAGAACUAACUCGGUAUUUUGACCAUUGAUUGGUCUUAUAGACAUGUAUUUUGCAUAAUUUUUUCAGAUUUUUCAAAAUGGUGGAACAUAUUCAAUUUUUCGAAACAAUUUUUGAGUGAAUUUUUUAACCCCAAAGGAGGUGUCCAAAAAUUCUGCAAAUAAUCACAGAUGUUACUCUCCGUCUCCAUACAGACAUUUUUUGAGAAUUUUUUCAGAAUUUUAAGUUACAGCCAACGGGAGAUAUAAAUUAUGGACAAAACUCACCCUCAUACCCAAAAACUCAUUCCUAGCGUGCUUUUAAGGGCUGAUAUUCUACCAAAAACCCCGUUUUGUUAAGUCCAGUCAAGUUGCCGAUCAUAUCUGAUAAUAAUCUGCAGUUUUAUGGAAUUUUCUUUUUCGGUCAUGUUAGGGGUGUAUUUUUACCUGUGGAAAAUGCGUCCUCGAUAUGAC